rnacentral:misc_RNA from 1 species
UAUCGCUCGCUGACGUACUAAUUAACACGCUUCUAACGGAUGUGACAGCCAAUCAGACUCUUUUAAAGCCGCCCAGGACCAGGAACUGGGCGCCACGGGAACCCAGUGGCAUUAGCGUAAUUUUAAGGCUUAACAGUGGCAUUUACGGAUCAUGCUCCUCACUUUGCCUCUCUAUACUCUAUAGAACCCUCUUUCCAUUCCUAAGCGAUUCUCUUCUAUUUGUCGCCGCCGCCAUGGCCGGGCUGAGCAGACUUGGAGUAGCCACAGCCACGCCAGCACUCCGCGGCCUUGGAUAUCUUGCUACCUCCCGUGCCUACGGAUCGGCUGCUGCGGUUCAAUACGACUACGAUUACGAAUUCGACAACCAGUACUAUUCGGGGGCAGAAGGAAGCAGAAAUCUGCUCCGGGAUUCGCGGCUUCCGGAGCCAAGGCUAGACUCGGCAGCGGCGUCGGACUGGGGAAGAGGAGUGCAAUGGGUGUUGAUAGGGGACCCGGCAGCUCAAAAGCACGUGUACGCUGAAAAGCUUUCGAAGCUUCUACAAGUUCCUCACAUUUCCAUGGGUACCCUCCUUCGGCAAGAGCUUAACCCUAGCUCUUCUCUCUACAAACAGAUUGCAAAUGCUGUGAAUGGAGGCAAUCUGGUACCAGAAGAAAUAAUUUUUGGGUUGCUGUCCAAGAGGCUUGAAGAAGGUU